rnacentral:lncRNA from 1 species
UGAGGGGCUUUUGCUGAGCAACGUUGCGGAGUUGAAUACAACAACCCAGAAACCAAUGAUUUAUAAGCGAUUUUGUCCCUUAAUUUGUCAGUGAGAGCUUCGGAGGCAGCUCAGGUGCUCCCAGUUAUAAAUUUGGCAGAGCUCGCCUCCAGGGGAGCCCCAGCUCCCUCCCGAUGGUGUUGCAGCCCUCUUCAAGCAGUCAGUGGUCAGCGAUCGCAUCCUCGCGCGGCAGCGUUAAUUACAAGGGGAGCUGCGGGUGGGUGCCCAUCCCGGGGAGCCCCUUCCUCCCGGUGCCAUGCGAACAGCAGGAUUCUCAAAGGGGCUCUCCCACCGCGACACAAUCCUUGGACCUUGGGAGCAAAUAAAGACAGGAGGAUUUUUCACAGCGAUUGGGAGCUUGAUAUGAAAAAACAGCCUUAAAUUCAGAGUGAGUAAAAGGAAAUAUGUUUGCUCUGUAAGCCUCUAGUUCUGCAGUUGCUCUGUGUAUGUCUAAGAGAGUAAUGCACCUCUUACUAAGCAA